CAAUAGCGUAUAUCAAAGUUGUUGCGGUUAAAAAGCUCGUAGUUGGAUCUCGGCAGGCAGGGGGUGGUUCGCUCUUAGCGCUACUGCCCCAUUUGCCUGUGUGAUUGGCGGAGGUUUCGGGGUGCUCUUCGUUGAGUGACCCGGGGCGCCGUCAGGUUUACUUUGAAAAAAUUAGAGUGCUCAAAGCAGGCUUUUCACGCUUGAAUAUUCGUGCAUGGAAUAAUGGAAUAGGAACUCGUUUCUAUUUUGUUGGUUUUCGGAAAUCGAGUUAAUGAUUAAUAGGGACAAUUGGGGGCAUUAGUAUUCAGACGACAGAGGUGAAAUUCUUGGACCGUCUGAAGACUAACUACUGCGAAAGCAUUUGCCAAGAGUGUUUUCAUUAA
rnacentral:rRNA from 1 species